rnacentral:rRNA from 1 species
GUGGCAGCCGCCGCGGUAAUACGAAGGGACCUAGCGUAGUUCGGAAUUACUGGGCUUAAAGAGUUCGUAGGUGGUUAAAAUAGUUGGUGGUGAAAUCCCAGAGCUUAACUCUGGAACUGCCAUCAAAACUUUUUAGCUAGAGUAUGAUAGAGGAAAGUAGAAUUUCUAGUGUAGAGGUGAAAUUCGUAGAUAUUAGAAAGAAUACCAAUUGCGAAGGCAGCUUUCUGGAUCAUUACUGACACUGAGGAACGAAAGCAUGGGUAGCGAAGAGGAUUAGAUACCCUCGUAGUCCAUGCCGUAAACGAUGUGUGCUAGACGUUGGAAAUUUUAUUUUCAGUGUCGCAGCGAAAGCGAUAAGCACACCGCCUGGGGAGUACGACCGCAAGGUUAAAACUCAAAUGAAUUGACGGGGACCCGCACAAGUAGUGGAGCAUGUGGUUUAAUUCGAAGAUACGCGCAGAACCUUACCAACACUUGACAUGUUCGUCGCAACUCUAAGAGAUUAGAGUUUUCGGUUCGGCCGGACGAAACACAGGUGCUGCAUGGCUGUCGUCAGCUCGUGUCGUGAGAUGUUGGGUUAAGUCCCGCAACGAGCGCAACCCUCACUUUUAGUUGCUACCAUUUAGUUGGGCACUCUGAAAGAACUGCCAGUGAUAAGCUGGAGGAAGGUGGGGAUGACGUCAAGUCCUCAUGGCCCUUACGUGUUGGGCUACACACGUGCUACAAUGGCAUCUACAACAGGAAGCAAGAAUGCGAAUUUAAGCAAAUCCCUAAAAGAUGCCUCAGUUCGGAUUGUACUCUGCAACUCGAGUACAUGAAGCUGGAAUUACUAGUAAUCGCGGAUCAGCGUGCCGCGGUGAAUACGUUCCCGGGUCUUGCACACACCGCCCGUC